ensembl:lncRNA
CAUAGCUUAGACUUGCUGGCGUUCCUUUCCCUCUGGCUAGCACUCUUUCAUACUUACGCCACCCGUCUCCCCUGCUGUUAACGUGUAUGUUUCAGUUAGCAGGUCUGAGUAGGAUGCAUUGCAGCCCAGUUUAUCCUGGAUCCCCGGAGAGGGCCCAUAUGUCGCUGUACUGUUUACAUUUGGUGCCAUCACUUCCGGCUUGCAGUUUCAGCUUGGAAUCCUUUAUGCAGAUGAUUGAAACAUAAAGCCAACAGUGGUAGCUGUAAACAAGCAGAUGUGUCAGCAUUGGCUGCUUUUUGGCUCGAGCAGGACUUAAGC